rnacentral:rRNA from 1 species
UACGGGGGGAGCAAGCGUUGUUCGGAUUUACUGGGCGUAAAGGGCGCGUAGGCGGUCUUCUAAGUCUUGUGUGAAAGCCCGGGGCUCAACUCCGGAAUUGCCUUUAAGACUGCAUCGCUAGAAUUGUGGAGAGGUAAGUGGAAUUCCGAGUGUAGAGGUGAAAUUCGUAGAUAUUCGGAAGAACACCAGUGGCGAAGGCGACUUACUGGACACAUAUUGACGCUGAGGUGCGAAAGCGUGGGGAGCAAACAGG